GAUUGAUUUUACUCUGGAGACGUUUCAUUUUAACAAAGUUACUCACAGAAUUCUAAAGCUACAUCAUUUGCAUGUUAUAUGGAAGGUCCGAAUAUGAAUGAGACCCGUCACGGCCGUCAACCAACGGACAAAGCUCCAAGAUUAGCACCAUGAAUGGCCAAGGUCCCUACCUACCAUAACAAAUAAUGUUUUACUCAAUAACCGGUCCUUUCUGGUUCACAAAAUAGAUCUGUGGGUACAAAAUGAUCCGUGAGAAAAUAUUUGAUAUAGGUACCAUCGUUGCAGAUUUUGAUUCAAUAGAUAUGUAGGUACCUACUAAGGGCCAAUCAUAUUGAAAAUAUUGUCAUCAUCGUCACCUGACUGCAUACAAUAAUAAACGGUCUCCUGAUUUCCAUACAAUAUCUCGUAAUCAAGAUUGUGGGAAAAAAUUGAGCAGAGACUGAAGCUGACUCUUCUAGGUCAUGAUAGAAUGUAUGUAUGUAGAUGACAUCCAGUGGUAUCCAGUGAAUUGAAGUUGAGAACAAAUUCAGAUGCGAAUGCGCCCAAAAAAUAAAUGAGAUGCUUAGGUAUUCAGAUUUUGUUGUGAACAAUUGCUAAUUCAUAUUGCAAUAGUGACGAAGCCUGCGGUUUUGGAUAUGCAUGAUACAAUAAUAAAAUUAAAGUCGACAUUUCUUUGUUCAAGAAGAUUCGUCACCAUGGUUUGUGGCCCAGCACCUACGGGAAGCGUGUCAACGAAUCCCUUAUUAUUAUGUAAUCGCAUGGAAAGAAUCCUAUCUAUUUAGAAACAGGUACUUUACAGUUAAUAAAAAUACUGUAAACUAAAACAACGUCCUGUAAACAAUGUUUACGAUAGAACUUUCGUUAUCGGGCUCCAUGCGGGUGCCGUUAACGCGAAUGUCAGCUGACCCUAUAUCAGCACCACGCACUGAGCUACGUUAGUGUCAACCUGCACCUGACCACAAUGUGUCGCCUCACUGCCUUUGUUUUGUUCCUUGCGCUUUCGUACGCGACUUGCAGCAUUAUCACUGACCGAGGCACGAAGGAUAUCCUCCUGCCUGAUGCAGAAAUAGAAGACAACAGCAUCGUCGUACCUGAAGUCCUGCCUAUCGAAGGAAUAGCACAAUUCAGUGCGCCAGACAACGCGAAGUGCGCCAAAGUUGGCGAAUUCUGCAUCAACCAUAAGGACUGUUGCAGUAACUCCUGUUUGACCUUCAUGAGGAGAUGUGUUUCAUAGUUUGAUCAAAUCCCGAUCCUGUGAGCUAAAAAUAUUUGCUUUGAAUCAGCCAUGGCCGGCAUUUUGUAACCCUUGAAGGAAGUGGAUGAUUCAGGUCAACAAAUAUUUAUCAUUGUAAAUUGACUAAUCAUCAGUUAUGUAUUAAAGUUUAUUUAUAUCAA